rnacentral:rRNA from 1 species
CGGCACAGAGGGAAGCCAGGUGGCGACACCGCGCGGAACCAAAGCCGUUCUCAGUUCGGAUCGGAGUCUGCAACCCGACUCCGUGAAGCUGGAUUCGCUAGUAAUCGCGCAUCAGCCAUGGCGCGGUGAAUACGUUCCCGGGCCUUGUACACACCGCCCGUCAAGCCAUGGGAGCCGGGGGUGCUUGAAGUGCGUCGCCGCAAGGCGCGCCCUAGAGCAAAACCGGUGACUGGGGCUAAGUCGUAACAAGGUAGC